AGCAAAAUGGUAGGAAGUGCCCCC
rnacentral:siRNA from 1 species